rnacentral:pre_miRNA from 1 species
AAAGAGUGUAGUUUUACACUGUUCAUAUUCAAUAUAUGACUGUCCUUCUUAUUUGAAAAUUUUGGUAUAAUUAGUAUUUAUUAUUAUUAUUAGAUGAUAAAACAUAAAUAAUAUUUUAUGUGUGAUUGAUUUUUUUCAUAAUUUUUUUAAAUAAGACGAACUGUCAAACGUUGAAUACAGAAAUCCAAAUCCAUAGCCACACUUAUA